ACUGUUGCGUUUUUCAUACGUACGUAUACGCACGUAAAACUUUAAAUUCGUUUAAAUGUUAUAUGAAAUAUAAUAAAUAAAGCAACAGAAUUUAGUGUUCCGCAAGUUUUAGUAUGCAUUUGUUAACUUAUUUGUAAAAUAUUUAAAAAAUAGAAGGACUCAAAGUUUUACGUGCGUGUACGUGCGUACGAAAAACGCAACAGU